UACGUAGGGUGCAAGCGUUGUCCGGAAUUAUUGGGCGUAAAGAGCUCGUAGGAGGUUUGUCGCGUCUGCUGUGAAAACUCGAGGCUCAACCUCGAGCUGUCGGUGGAAACUGUCUGGCUAGAGUCCGGAAGAGGAGAGUGGAAUUCCUGGUGUAGCGGUGAAAUGCGCAGAUAUCAGGAAGAACACCUAUGGCGAAGGCAGCUCUCUGGGACGGUACUGACGCUGAGACGCGAAAGCGUGGGGAGCAAACAGG
rnacentral:rRNA from 1 species